GACGAACGCUGGCGGCGUGCUUAACACAUGCAAGUCGAACGGAAAGGCCCUGCUUUUGUGGGGUGCUCGAGUGGCGAACGGGUGAGUAACACGUGAGUAACCUGCCCUUGACUUUGGGAUAACUUCAGGAAACUGGGGCUAAUACCGGAUAGGAGCUCCUGCUGCAUGGUGGGGGUUGGAAAGUUUCGGCGGUUGGGGAUGGACUCGCGGCUUAUCAGCUUGUUGGUGGGGUAGUGGCUUACCAAGGCUUUGACGGGUAGCCGGCCUGAGAGGGUGACCGGGCACAUUGGGACUGCGAGACGGCCCAGACUGCUACGGGAGGCAGCAGUGGGGAAUAUUGCACAAUGGGCGGAAGCCUGAUGCAGCAACGCCGCGUUUGGGAUGACGGCCUUCUGGGUGUAAACCGCUGUCGCCUGUGACGAAGCGGUAGUGACGGUAAUGGGUAAAGAAGCACCGGCUAACUACGUG
rnacentral:rRNA from 1 species